rnacentral:rRNA from 1 species
GACGAACGCUGUCGGCGCGCCUAACACAUGCAAGUCGAACGGAGUUGCUGAAGCUGAAUUUUUCGGAAGGACGCAUUAGUAACUUAGUGGCGGACGGGUGAGUAACGCGUGAGUAACCUGCCUUUCAGAGGGGGAUAACGUUUGGAAACGAACGCUAAUACCGCAUAACAUAACGAGGUCGCAUGGCUUUGUUAUCAAAGGAGCAAUCCGCUGGAAGAUGGACUCGCGUCCAAUUAGCUAGUUGGUGAGGUAAAGGCCCACCAAGGCGACGAUUGGUAGCCGGACUGAGAGGUUGAACGGCCACAUUGGGACUGAGACACGGCCCAGACUCCUACGGGAGGCAGCAGUGGGGAAUAUUGCGCAAUGGGGGAAACCCUGACGCAGCAACGCCGCGUGAUUGAAGAAGGCCUUCGGGUUGUAAAGAUCUUUAAUCAGGGACGAAGGAAGUGACGGUACCUGAAGAAUAAGCUCCGGCUAACUACGUGCCAGCCGCCGCGGUAAAAC